rnacentral:rRNA from 1 species
UACGUAGGGGGCAAGCGUUGUCCGGAUUUAUUGGGCGUAAAGAGCGUGUAGGCGGCCAGGUAGGUCCGCUGUGAAAACUCGAGGCUCAACCUCGAGACGUCGGCGGAAACCAUCUGGCUAGAGUCCGGAAGAGGAGAGUGGAAUUCCUGGUGUAGCGGUGAAAUGCGCAGAUAUCAGGAAGAACACCCGUGGCGAAGGCGGCUCUCUGGGACGGUACUGACGCUGAGACGCGAAAGCGUGGGGAGCGAACAGG